rnacentral:rRNA from 1 species
AACGAACGCUGGCGGCAUGCCUAACACAUGCAAGUCGAACGAAGCCUUCGGGCUUAGUGGCGCACGGGUGCGUAACGCGUGGGAAUCUGCCCUUUGGUUCAGAAUAACAGUUGGAAACGACUGCUAAUACCGGAUGAUGACGAAAGUCCAAAGAUUUAUCGCCAGAGGAUGAGCCCGCGUAGGAUUAGCUAGUUGGUGGGGUAAAGGCGCACCAAGGCGACGAUCCUUAGCUGGUCUGAGAGGAUGAUCAGCCACACUGGGACUGAGACACGGCCCAGACUCCUACGGGAGGCAGCAGUGGGGAAGAUUGGACAAUGGGCGAAAGCCUGAUCCAGCAAUGCCGCGUGAGUGAUGAAGGCCCUAGGGUUGUAAAGCUCUUUUACCCGGGAUGAUAAUGACAGUACCGGGAGAAUAAGCCCCGGCUAACUCCGUGCCAGCCGCCGCCGUAA